rnacentral:rRNA from 1 species
GUCUGUUUGAAGGUAUAAAUAGUCUAACCUGCCCACUGAUAGAAGAAUUUUAAAGGGCCGCGGUAUUAUGACCGUGCAAAGGUAGCAUAGUCAUUAGGUUUUUAAAUGGAAUCUUGUAUGAACGGUUGAACAAGAGAAAAACUGUUUUUAUAUUAAAGUUUGAAUUUAACUUUUAAGUGAGAAGGCUUAAAUAUUCUAGAGGGACGAUAAGACCCUAUAAAACUUUAUAUUGUAAUUUUAUUUAGUUAAAUUUAAGUAAUAAAGAUUUAAUUUAAUUAUUUUAUUAUGUUGGGGAGACGGAGGCAAAAUUUAUAUUAACUGUUUAGUAGACAUACAAUUAUAAUUGGUAUUAAUAUAAUUAAUAGAUCCUGAUUAUAGAUUUAAAGAUUAAGUUACUUUAGGGAUAACAGUGUAAUUUUUUUUAAGAGUUCAUAUUGAAAAAAAAGUUUGCAACCUCGAUGUUGAAUUAAGAUAUCUAUAUAAUGUAGUUGUUAUAUAAGAAGGUCUGUUCGACCUUUAAUUUUUU